UUUCCACUAAACCCUUUAAUGUGUGUAUAUAUAUGCACAAACAUUUAGUUUGAAAAGCAACCUUGCAUUCUCAAGCAUCCAAAGCUCCUUUCUUUUGGAAGUUCUUAUUGAUCUUUCUGUUGUUCAUCCAUACCAAAUUAUGGGUUUCCGUUUGCCGGCUGUUCUUCGUGCUAAGCAAAUUCUUCAGAGGUCUCCAACAGCAAACCAAACGGCUUCAGCAGCCAUGGACGUGCCAAAGGGCUACCUUGUAGUCCACGUUGGAGAAAAGCAAACGAAGCGAUUUGUAAUUCCCAUAUCAUACUUGAACAAUCCUUCAUUUCAAGACUUACUAAUCCUAGCUGAAGAAGAAUUUGGAUAUGAUCAUCCAAUGGGUGGUCUUACAAUUCCCUGUAGCGAAAACAUCUUCAUCGAUGUCAUUUCUUGCUUAAAUCGUUCAUGAGACUCUGAACAUUGAACACAAUUUAGUAAAGUACAGUUACAAGUAAAAUGUACGCAAAAAGCAGGAGCAUUAAUCAAAUAUUUUUGUUUCUUCAGACUCUGCAGUCUUAUAAUAGGUUAUGUUCUACACUUUCACUGAUAAUGUUUCUCAAUUGUAUGGAUAAAAACAAGGUAUUAACAAAUACAUCUUUGGCAUUUGCUUCAAAAAGUAGCCUUGGGCCAAUGCAGCUAGGUUUAUCUUACCUUGACUUGACUGCUCAGGAACACAAGUUUUGACACUUCAAUUCAAUUUUAGCAUUUUGGACAACAUUGCAUAUAUCUCUGCAUGAAAGGUUGAGCACACUGAGGUGGUAGGGAAUAAGAGACUUAGCAACUUUAGAUUUUUCUUAAUUAAGACAUAUUCUCAAACCAGAUGGAAUGAAGAAAACAGAUUAAGGCUUAGUUGAGUUGAAUUUGUAUGCAUGUGG
rnacentral:misc_RNA from 1 species